rnacentral:rRNA from 1 species
GCUUAACACAUGCAAGUCGAACGGAUUGCUCUCGUAGCUUGCUAUGAGAACAAUUAGUGGCAGACGGGUGAGUAAUGCAUAGGAAUCUACCUAGUAGUAUAGGAUAGCCACUAGAAGUGGUGGGUAAUACUGUAUAAUCCCUGCGGGGGAAAGAUUUAUCGCUACAUGAUGAGCCUAUGUUAGAUUAGCUAGUUGGUGGGGUAAUGGCCUACCAAGGCAGUGAUCUAUAGCUGGUCUGAGAGGAUGAUCAGCCACACUGGAACUGAGACACGGUCCAGACUCCUACGGGAGGCAGCAGUGGGGAAUAUUGGACAAUGGG